GGGCGAGUAGUUUAAUUAGGAAAAUUUUCGGCCUGCACCCGAAGGUCGGCGGAGCAUAACCGCCCUUGUCCACCA
rnacentral:tRNA from 1 species